rnacentral:lncRNA from 1 species
UUUCCUCAUUUAGUAGAUCUCAUGUUUAACAGGAGGGCAGUCAUUGGUAAUUUGAAAUUUCUUGAUCUGAGAGGAACCGCUAUUAAAAACCUACCUGCAAGCAUUGGUAAUUUGAAAUCUCUUGAGAAACUUGAUCUGAGUGGAACUGCGAUCAAGUGCCUACCUGCAAGCAUUGGUAAUUUGAAAUCUCUUGAGAAACUUGAUCUGAGUGGAACUGCGAUCAAGUGCCUACCUGAAAGCAUUGGUAAUUUGAAAUCUCUUGAGAAACUUGAUCUGAGUGGAACUGUGAUCAAGUGCCUACCUGCAAGCAUCAAAGAAGCUUCUCGGCUGAUUAGUCUGCAGUUAACCAAUUGCAGGAGCCUUGAAUCUUUACCAGAGCUUCCAGGGGUACGUUGGCUUCAAGCACAUGGAUGCACAUCACUCAAGCAAGUGUUGAGCUCAAAGACUGCGCUUACAUUAGGUUGGGAUGAGUAUAAAAAUUCUCAAGGACUUCAAGAGCAACUUACAUUUUCAAAUUGCAUAGAAAUGGGAUGGGAUGCUUGGUGUGAUUCGCAGUUUAGAAUUAUGCGAAUGGCAACUGCAUUGUCAAAGCACUUUAAACAAGAAGAUAUUGAAGUAGCAUCUCAUCUUGAGUUUGAAGAAGAAAGUAAAGUACGUCUCCCUCUCUCUCUCUCUCUCUCUCUCUCUCUCUCUCUCUCUCUCUAUCUCUCUCUCUCUCUCUCUGUUGUUAAAUUGAAUAACUCGGUUUCUCUGCUCUCUAACACAUUUAUUGAUGAACAGGAAUAUGUUUUUAGAUCUCCAGUCUGCGUUGUAUGUCCUGGAAAUAUAAUUCCAAGAUGGUUUUCAUAUGAAGUUGAUAAAUCUUUACUAUGGAUCAAACUUGGUCCAAACUUCUUUGACACUAAUUUUUUGGGUUUCGCUUAUUCGGUUGUUGUUGCAUUCAAGAAUUAUAAUGUUGGAGGGAGUUUGAGGGUUGGAUGUAAAAUCAAUUUCAAAGGCUAUGGUGAUCAUUGUAUCUAUCAUCAGAGUUGCAUGGUUGCCGAAUAUGGAGAAAUCAAUGAGAGCAAGUUUGAAACGCCUCACGUGUGCAUCUGGUUUAGUACCUUUGACCAUUUAAAGCAAGGAAGCUUUAAUGGCGUCACUAAGGCCAUAUUUGACUUCUACCCAAUAAUAGAUGAUUGUCCUGAUGGCGGAGUCGUUGAUUAUUCCAUGAUUAAGGUGACAAAGUGUGGGAUCUUCCCAAUGUACGCCCCAGUUGUUGAUUUGAUAUUGGCAUCAAGGAUGAAACAGGUGAGGGAGCUAAACGUAGAAGCACACGAAUCAUUUCCUCAUUUAGUAGAUCUCAUGUUUAACAGGAGGGCAGUCAUUGGUAAUUUGAAAUUUCUUGAUCUGAGGGGAACCGCUAUUAAAAACCCUACCUGCAAGCAUUGGUAAUUUGAAAUCUCUUGAGAAACUUGAUCUGAGUGGAACUGCGAUCAAGUGCCUACCUGCAAGCAUUGGUAAUUUGAAAUCUCUUGAGAAACUUGAUCUGAGUGGAACUGCGAUCAAGUGCCUACCUGAAAGCAUUGGUAAUUUGAAAUCUCUUGAGAAACUUGAUCUGAGUGGAACUGUGAUCAAGUGCCUACCUGCAAGCAUCAAAGAAGCUUCUCGGCUGAUUAGUCUGCAGUUAACCAAUUGCAGGAGCCUUGAAUCUUUACCAGAGCUUCCAGGGGUACGUUGGCUUCAAGCACAUGGAUGCACAUCACUCAAGCAAGUGUUGAGCUCAAAGACUGCGCUUACAUUAGGUUGGGAUGAGUAUAAAAAUUCUCAAGGACUUCAAGAGCAACUUACAUAUUCAAAUUGCAAAGGAAUGGGAUGGGAUGCAUGGCGUGAUAUAGUUACUGAUUCACAGAUUAGAAUUAUGCGAAUGGCAACUGCGUUAUCGAAGUAUUUUACACAAGAGGAAAUUAAAGUGGCAUUUCAUCUUGAAUUUGAAGAAGAAAGUAAUGUAUGUCUCUCUCUCUCUCUCUCUCUGUUGUUAAAUUGAAUAACUCGGGUUUUCUGCUCUCUAACACAUUUAUUGAUGAACAGGAAUAUGUUUUUAAAUCUCCAGUUUGCAUUGUAUGUCCGGGAAGUGCAAUUCCAAGAUGGUUCCCAAAUGAAGUUGAUAAAUCUGUACUACGGAUCGAACUUGGUUCAAACUUCUUUAACGCUAAUUUUUUGGGUUUCGCUUAUUCUGUUGUUGUUGCAUUCAAGAAUUAUAAUGUUGGAGGGAGUUUGAGGGUUGGAUGUAAAAUCAAUUUCAAAGACUCUUGUGAUCAUCGUGUCCAUCAUCGGAGUUGCAUGGUUGCCGAAUAUGGGGAAAUCAAUGAGUGCAAGUUUGAAACGCCUCACGUGUUCAUCUGGUUUAGUACCUUUGACCAUGUAAAGCAAGGAAGCUACAAUGGCGUCACCGAGGCCAUAGUUGACUUCUACCCAAUGACAGAUGAUCUUCCUGAUGGCAGAGCCGUUGAUUGUUCCAAGAUAAAGGUGACAAGGUGUGGGGUCUUCCCAAUGUAUGCCCCAGUUGAUUCGAUAUUGGCAUCGAGGAUGAAACAGGUGAGGGAGCUAAACAUAGAGGCACACGAAUCAUUUCCUUAUUUAGUCGAUGUCAUGUUUAACAGGAGGGCAGCCAGACAUGAUCUAAGUCUCUGAAUUAUUUUGUAAUUUACAUGCUGUUUCUUUAUUUGUGCAAUUGAGAUAUACAAGUCAACUACUACAAUUGCUAAACUAAGUUUUCAUCUAGUCUCUGCCCUCCAGUCAACUGCUAUCACAUCUCUUACCAGCUAUUGCUUUGAGAGUCCUAAGGAGGGAAAUCCGUCCUUCGUCUUUGUCUAUUCAGUCCGAACAGAUCUAUUCUAGUUCUUUAAGAAGAAGACUAGCUUGGAUCUGAAAUUCUCACACCAGUUGGCACUUUAUGUUGCUCGUCCUCAAUCCAUAUAACCACUGUCUUUGUAAAUUUAGUCUGCAAAACAUCCUAGGCCUUAAUUUAAGGAGCCUGGCUUUACCUCAUUCGGCUUUCCUGAGUCCAAUUAACUUGAUAGUCACACAGACCAAAGGGCCUAUGAUAUUGCAUUUUGGCUCUUCCCAUGAUGCGCCUAUCACAUCUCUAACUUUAUGAUCUUACCAGACAGUCCUAAUCUCAUGCGCCUCAUUGGAUGUCUAGAAUUGGCUUGGGGGGUUGGAUAACUGUUACCAGACAGAGACUCAAAUAGUGUUGAAUGAAGAAAUGAAUAUCCACUUGUAUAGUUACAUGUUCUUUUGAAAGCUAAUUGUACGCAAAUGUAAAAUCAAAUUACUAAGAAGGAUAAUACAAACACGGAGAAUGAUUCUGUGAUGUAUACAUAAGCAAAUAAGAAGGAUAAAUUAAAAGGUUAAACUGGUAAUUUCAUAUAAUUUUAGUUGACAAUGAGUGUUUUAUUAAUAUAUAGUUUAGAUAUUUGUCAAUAUCAUAAUAUUUUAUUGAUUUUGUAGUAAGUACCCUAAAUUUUAACCCACAUACUAUAAUAGUAAUAAGAUUAAGUACCUAAAAUCCUCUAUUCUUUUAGGGUGUGUUUGUUACACCUCCUUAGAAGGGAUUGGCUUGGACUAGCUUAACUAGGAUUAUAAUCCUAUGUUUGGUAAGGUUCUGGACUAGAAUACGUGGGACUCGCCUCGACUACGAUGCACUCCGCCCUUCACUAAACCUCAUUAGCUAGUCCCCUGCUUUCGCUUGGUAUUAAGCGGGACUACGGAAACGAGGUGGACAUCCAGUUCCAGUUCACAGGCUCCGUUUUUUUUUCUGCAGCGCUGUCAUCGUGGCCAGGCCGUCGGUGGUGCUUGGAAUUGGGAAGUUGACUUUUUGAAAAUUGGAGGAGUUCUCAGGAAGGUUGGGUCUUGGAAUCGAGAUGGCUGAGAUUUUUUUUAAUUGAUUUGGGGAUUUUGAAAAUUAGAGGGCUGAGACCUCCAAACCACGAACUCACCCCAUCUUUCAGAUAUGCUAACAUAUUUCAAGUGCAAGGGAGAGGGAUGGAAGAUUUGGAUGUUGAUUGUGAAAAGCUUAUAGUAUGCAAACCUGAUCUUGAUUGUAUAAAGGCUCUGCAUUUUGACAGCGAGGUAAUUUGGAUUCCAAUACCCCAAUACAAAUUCUCUUAUCGAUGAAGAAAAUUAAGAGAUUGAUGCAGGAUUUGACAGAGAGAAAAUGAUGGGGAAGAUAAACGAUGAAGGGUAUAGGAAGGAAAGGAAUUAAAAUGUUCUUGGUUCCAUUCAUCUCCCAGACUUCACCCCUUUUAUUAUUAAUUUUUGUUUAAUUUUCAAGUGAAUUAAAAAUGGCCAAAAAAAUAUUGUAUGUUACUUAAUCCGACACUGCACCAAACACUAAGUUAGUCCAGCUUAGUCUAGUUUAAGCCAGUCUAGCUUAAUCCCUGAAGCUAGUCCAGUCCAAGAUAGUCUGGUGCAACAAACGCACCCUUAGUGUCAAUCCAAAUUGGUCUCAACAUUUUUAAAUAUUCUAAACAAAUACCCAACAUAUUAAAAAUGUCACAUUUGUUAAUUUUUCAAACUUAGAUUAUAUUCAAAACCCAUCAACUCGGUUAUCAAAGACAAUAUUAAUAUUAGUUGUCUCAAAAUCCAAGUUUCAAAUAUAGAUGAUAUAAUAUGAAAUAAGAUGAUCAAACAUGUAUUGAAUUGAAUAAAAAAUGGACCAAAAUUGAAUUUAAAUCAGAAGGACAAUCACUUAACAAAAAAGAGGGUUAGCAAUUUAAAUAAGGUUUCAAUGAGUUUGUUUCUGCUCAUGUGAUUUCCUCAUUCACUGAUUGUCAACUUGUAAAGCUUUUAGUUCUUUGUGGGUAGUGAAGAUGGUGAUGGCCACAUCAUGUAAUCCAUACCAUUUUAUCAAUCUCCAUGACCUUAUUCUCGAUGUUAGCGGCUUGAGUUGUAGGGUGGAGUUGGUGGUUUUGCGUUGGGUUUGGAGGUGAUGGCAUGAUGGUGGUGGUGAUAACCGUUAGUUGGUGGAGGCUAAGCUUCCAUGACCUUCCAUUGAUUUGAGAGACAAAGUAAUCCUAGCUAAUUUAAUAAAUGUUUAACUAGGGCUUAAUAAAUGUGAAAUUUUUAAUAGGUUGAGUACUUAUUUGGAAUGUUCAAAAAGGUAGAGACCAAUUUGAAAUGACACUAAAAGGUUGAGAAGUUUUAUGUACUUAAUAAUAAUAAUAAUAAUAAUAGGGGUUAGGUUGAUCUUUGAAUUUUCGGCACUAUUGACUUACUAUUGAGGUUCUAGAAUUGGACGAAAUAAUAAUAAUAAUAAUAAUAAGAAUAAUAAUAGGUUGAUCUUUGAAUUUUCGGCACUGUUGACUUACUAUUGAGGUUCUAGAAUUGGACGAAUUUUUGUAAAAAUGAUCAUUGAAUCACGCAAAUUUGUGGAGAGAAGUCAAAUACGUGACUAAUUAGUGCUUAUACAUUAUGUUAGAAUUUACUGAUUUAGAGUGAAAAUCUAUAUGUAUAACUUUAUAAAUCUAUUGUUUGUAAUGAUGGUGAUGGAGCUUGCCGGGUGCCCUUUCUGCAACGUCGUUCUCAAGUGCGCAUCGGGAGUUUCGCAACAUGUCACGACUCUUUUCAGCAUCAGUCGUAAAACACGACACGGGCCGCGUGAUAUGGUCAACUGCAGCCACCCACCCUGUGGCAAAAGUCUUUAGUUUGAAUGCUUCAAAGUGCAUUCCACGAAGUGUUUGGGUAAUUUCCUUCCUACUUUAAUUUUUAUUUGUACAUAUCUGGUGCAAUCCAAUUGGUGUCAUUCAUCUUACUCGCUUGUUAUAAAGAAAAGAGAGAUGGAGUUCAUUGGGUUCUUUCAAGUUCUUAUCGUCGUCACUUCCAUCAGUACUCUGUUGUACACGUGCUUCAGAUCAUUAACAUUUUCUUGUUGGCCUUUUUCUACUACUUUUUCUUCUUCUUCGGGCGAUGAUGAUGAUGAUAUCCCUGCCCCUCGAGAAAAGUAUGAUGAUGAUGAUAUCCCAGCCCCUCGAGGAAAGUAUGAUGUGUUUAUUAGUUUCAGAGGUGAGGACACCAGCAAUACUUUUACUAGCCAUCUCCAUGGUGCCUUACUCCGGAAGAAAAUUGAAACCUACAUCGAUUACAGACUUGUGAGGGGGGGGGGGUGAAAUUGCACCUGCCCUUCUAGAAGCAAUCGAGAAAUCUACGCUUUCGUUGGUCAUUUUCUCACAAAACUAUGCAUCUUCCACCUGGUGUUUGGAUGAACUUGCACAUAUACUACACUGCAGGGAAAAAUAUGGCCAGUUGGUUAUUCACAUUUUUUACGGCACCGGUCCAUCAACGGUACGAAAACAAAAGGGGAGUUAUGAAGUUGCAUUUGCUCAACAUGAAAAACGUUUCAAGGGCGCUAUUGGCAAGGUGAACAUGUGGAGGGCUGCUUUGACGACUGCAGCUAAUCUAUCUGGCUUCUCAUACGAAACUGGGUAACUAACUCUAUAACUUGUAGUGUUUGUUCAUAAAAAAAUAAAAAAUAUUCUAUAACUUGUACUGAUUUCUACUCAUGAAAAUUUAACGCAUACAGGAUUAAUUCACGAAUGCCUGUUACUAACUAUUAGUUGUCCAUCAUAUAUUUGCCAGGACGGAGGCCGAUCUAGUUAUGGAAGUUGUAAACGAAAUUUGGAGCCAGUUGAAUACUAAAUCGUCAAGUGUUUUAAAGGGCCUUGUUGGAAUGGAAAGACGCAUUCAUGAAAUUGAGUCAUCAUUAUGCAUUGAUUCACUUGAUGUAUACACUGUAGGUAUUUGGGGAAUGGGUGGCAUUGGCAAGACCACCCUUGCUGAUGCUGUGUUUCAUCGACUCUCUUCUAAAUUUGAAGCUUGUUGUUUUCUUGGAAAUGUGAGGGAGAAAUCGGCGAAAGAUGGACUAGUUCACCUGCGAAACACACUUCUUAGUGAGAUAUUAAAGGAAAAUGAUCUAAACAUCGGCACUCCAACUAUAGGAUCAGAUCUUGUUAGAAAGAGGAUGGGAGGUACGAAGGUCCUCUUUGUUCUUGAUGAUAUAAGUGAUUCAAAGCAAUUAAAUUUUCUAGCUGGAGAUCCUGCUCUGUUUGGGCCCGGAAGUAGAAUAAUUAUAACAACUAGAGACAAGAGCCUACUUCAGAAAAGUGUAGAGCAUAAUAAGAUAUACGAGGUUCAGGAAUUAAAUUCUGAUGAAGCUUUGCAACUCUUUCAUUUGAGUGCCUUUGGAAAUAACAUUUCUAGAGUCGAUUGUGCAGAGUUGUCAAAACUUGUGGUAGAUUAUUGUGGAGGGAUUCCAUUAGCUCUUCAAAUUUUGGGUUCCUCAUUCCUUCAAUGUGAGAUCAAAGAAGAUUGGCUGGAUGAAUGGAAAGAAUUUCCAAGAGAAAAGAUCUGGAAAGUGUUGAGAUCAAGUUAUGAUGGAAUAAACGAAAUUGAGAAGGAGAUAUUUCUUGAUAUAGCAUGUUUUUAUCAAGGGAAAGAUGUGUACAUUGUAAAAGAAAUGCUAGAUAUAUGUGGUUUUCGUGCAUCGGUAAUUGGAGCUCUGAUUGAUAAGUCUCUCAUAUCAAUUUCAACAAAUAACAGCCUGCAGAUGCAUAAUUUGUUACAAGAAAUGGGUAGGGCAAUUGUUUGCGAACAAUGUAUUGAAGAGCCCGAAAAAUGCCAUAGGUUAUUUGUUGAUGAGGAUUUCAAUCGGGAAUUGAAAACUAAUACGGUAAGAUCGCGGAAUGCAUUCACUUCCAUUUAAAUUUUUUGUAUAUUGAAUUGUAUUCACAUUUAUACUCUGUUCUUUAUUCUCAGGAAAGUGCAACGCUACAAGCCAUUUUCUUUAACAGGUCUGCGAUUAAAGGGAUACUCUUGAAUCAUGUAGACUUCGAAAAGAUGUAUGAUCUAAGGUUGCUAUACGUUUAUAAUUCUAGCCGUAACAAGUACUGCGAAGUAAAAGUUUCUCUUCCCCGUUCUCUUACUUAUCUUGACUGGGAGGGAUACCCUUUCAAAUCUUUGCCAUUAAAACUUUGUCCGGAAAAUCUUGUUGAGCUUCAAAUGCGGAACAGCCAAGUUGAGCAACUUUGGAAUGAAGGCCAGGUAUGUCUAUGUCAUUUAACUUCUUACAUUAAUGUUGUGUAGAAAGUUACUUUGAUCAGGCUAAGUUGUUAAUUCUUGCAAUUUAUUGGUUAUUUGUUGCAGAAUCUUAUGAAAUUAAGAGUGAUGGAUCUUGGUUUGUCAAAAAAUCUGAUGAAAGUUCCAGAUCUCUCCCAAAGUCCAAACAUUGAGCAUAUAAAUCUGAGUGGAACCGCAAUUGAAAGCCUACCUGAAAGCAUUGGUAAUUUGAAAUCUCUUGAGAAACUUGAUCUGAGUGGAACUGUGAUCAAGUGCCUACCUGCAAGCAUCAAAGAAGCUUCUCGGCUGAUUAGUCUGCAGUUAACCAAUUGCAAGAGCCUUGAAUCUUUACCAAAGCUUCCAGGGGUACGUUGGCUUCAAGCACAUGGAUGCACAUCACUCAAGCAAGUGUUGAGCUCAAAGACUGCACUUACAUUAGGUUGGGAUGAAUAUAAAAAUUCUCAAGGACUUCAAGAGCAACUUACAUUUUCAAAUUGCAUAGGAAUGGGAUCGGGUGCUUGGCAUGAUAUAUUUACUGAUUCGCAGAUUAGAUUUAUGCGAAUGGCAACUGCAUUGUCGAAGCACUUUAAACAAGAAGAUAUCGAAGUAGCAUCUCAUCUUGAAUUUGAAGAAGAAAGUAAAGUACGUCUCCCUGUCUCUCUCUCUCUCUCUCUGUUGUUAAAUUGAAUAACUCGGUUUCUUUGCUCUCUAACACAUUUAUUGAUGAACAGGAAUAUGUUUUUAGAUCUCCAGUCUGCGUUGUAUGUCCUGGAAAUAUAAUUCCAAGAUGGUUGCCAAGUAAAAGUGAUACAUCUGUACUACGGAUCAAACUUGGUCCAGACUUCUUUAACACUAAUUUUUUGGGUUUCGCUUAUUCGGUUGUUAUUGCAUUCAAGAAUUAUAAUGUUGGAGGGAGUUUGAGGCUUGGAUGUAAAAUCAAUUUCAAAGGCUAUGGAGAUCAUUGUAUCUAUCAUCGGAGUUGCAUGGUUGCCGAAUAUGGAGAAAUCAAUGAGUGCAAGUUUGAAACGCCGCACGUGUGCGUCUGGUUUAGUACCUUUGACCAUUUAAAGCAAGGAAGCUAUAAUGGCGUCACUGAGGCCAUAUUUGACUUCUACCCAAUAAUAGAUGAUUGUCCUGAUGGCGGAGUCGUUGAUUAUUCCAUGAUUAAGGUGAAAAAGUGUGGGAUCUUCCCAAUGUACGCCCCAGUUGAUUGGAUAUUGGCAUCAAGGAUGAAACGGGUGAGGGAGCUACGUAGAAGCACACGAAACAUUUCCGCAUUUAGUAGAUCUCAUGUUUAACAGGAGGUCAGUCAGAUCUGAUAUGAGUGGAACUGAAAUUGAAAGCAGCCUACCUGCAAGCAUUGGUGUCACAUCCCGAUCCAGUCCGCAUAGUGAGAUAUUGUCCGCUUCGCAGUCUCACGGAUUUGUUCUUGGGCUUCCACGAAGCCCAAAACGCGUCUCACUAUAGGAAGGUGGGCAUGUACAUAUAAGGCACAGGUGGUCCUCUCCCUUGGGCAAUGUGGGACUCUACAAUUGGUAAUUUGAAAUAUCUUGAGAAACUUGAUCUGAGGGGAACCACUAUUAAAAACCUACCUGCAAGCAUUGGUAAAUUGAAAUCUCUUGAGAAACUUGAUCCGAGUGGAACUGCGAUCAAGUGCCUACCUGCAAGCAUCAAAGAAGCUUCUCGGCUGAUUU